rnacentral:lncRNA from 1 species
AUGGCUAUGAAAUGCUACUGUACAAACACAGGCUUCGUGGCAGGAUUCCAGGCUGGUGACAAAGCAGCCCAACAGGGUGAAGGGAAGGAGCAGGAGUGGCUGCGUCCUAAAACAUCUUCCACCAUUCAGCUCUUUCACUUGAGAGCUUUCAGAAACAAAGGAAGAACAGUGGAAGGUGGGAAAGGCACAACUGGAUUACAAACAUUUCCAGAUGACCUCAUACUCUACUUGAGAGACCAAACUGCGGUCAUCGGGUAUAAAGCCUGGAAACCUCACCCCACGCCUCCAGGCUCAGAAGAAGCACCUCUCGGCCUCCAGGAGCUUCCCUCUACCAGCCGUUCUAACUUCUCUCCUACUUUACCUGCUCCAGCUCCUUCCAGGAACGAGGUCUACUAGGGCUUCUUCCAUAAAGAAAACACAAAAACCCCCUCAGUGGAGAUGUGGCAUCCUCUGUCCCUCUACCGCCAGGCAUAAGAGUUCCCCUCAGUAGCUCUGUCCACUUUGCCACCCACCACAAACAAGUUCCAACAAUGGCAUGGAGGGUACCAAGAGGUUAAGUGUGUUCAAAGCCCAGGAAAUUAUUUUGAAGGGGAUUAACAGUAUUGUCUUUUACUGUAAUAUUUAAAAUUUUUAUUGCUGGGCAUGGUGGCACACACUUGCAAUCCCAACACUUGGGAGGCUGAGGCAGGAGGAUUGCCAUCAGUUGGAGGCCAGCUUGGGCUACAAAGUGAGUUCAAGGUCAACCUGAACUACAUAGUGAGACCCUGUCUCCAAAAUAAAUAAAUACAUAAUUUAAACAUUCAGUGUAAGGAGAAGUCAUAAAAUGUAGGAUCUAGAUGGCAUUCAGCAAGGAAAGAAGGUAUUCAUAAUAAUGACAGAUGUGAGC